rnacentral:rRNA from 1 species
AGAGUUUGAUUAUGGCUCAGGAUGAACGCUGGCGGCGUGCCUAACACAUGCAAGUCGAACGGUAGCCCAAUUUCGGUUGGGUGAGAGUGGCGAACGGGUGAGUAACACGUUGGUGACCUGCCCCGAACCGGGGGAUAACACCUCGAAAGAGGCGCUAAUACCCCGGAGGUCUGGACUAUUAGAGGGUUCAGACUAAAUCUGAGGCGGUUCGGGAGGGGCCUGCGGGCUAUCAGCUAGUUGGUGAGGUAAUGGCUCACCAAGGCGCAGACGGCUAGGGGGCGUGAGAGCGUGACCCCCCACAAGGGAACUGAGAAACGGUCCCUACUCCUACGGGAGGCAGCAGUGAGGAAUAUUGAGCAAUGGGCGCAAGCCUGACUCAGCAACGCCGCGUGGACGAUGACGGCCUUCGGGUUGUAAAGUCCUUUUCUGGAGGACGAUGAUGACGGUACUCCAGGAACAAGUCCCGGCUAACUACGUGCCAGCAGCCGCGGUAAAACGUAGGGGGCGAGCGUUAUCCGGAUUUACUGGGCGUAAAGCGCAUGUAGGCGGUUGGGUAAGUUAGACGUGAAAGCUCCCGGCUUAACUGGGAGAGGUCGUUUGAAACUAUCCGACUGGAGGUUGGAAGAGGAGAGUGGAAUUCCCGGUGUAGUGGUGGAAUGCGUAGAGAUCGGGAGGAACACCAGUGGCGAAAGCGGCUCUCUGGACCAAUUCUGACGCUGAGAUGCGAAAGCGUGGGGAGCAAACGGGAUUAGAUACCCCGGUAGUCCACGCUGUAAACGAUGGAGACUAGGUGUCGGCGGUCAUUUACCCCGUCGGUGCCGCAGCUAACGCGUUAAGUCUCCCGCCUGGGGACUACGGCCGCAAGGUUAAAACUCAAAGGAAUUGACGG